CCCGCAGUUUUACGUCUUAAUUAGGAGCACUGUCAGAGGCACCCGGAGAACCUUCGUCCCAAUCAGAAGGGACAGAGAGGGAUGGAGACGGAGAGGGAGUGUGAAGGAUGCUAAGGAGGACAAAGUCAGCGAGUGAGUGAGGGGGGGGGAAGAAAAAAUGGAGAAGACGAAGGAUUUACGAGAAGAAUUUAGAGGGGUUUUGGAAGAGACACAAGCCCACAGCAUCACAGAUCCUCCACUGUUGCUAACAGUGUGCAUGAGGGGCUUUUUCACAUAUUCAUCUUUUCUUUCAUACUGGACCCACCUGGACUGUUUGUGGCAUAAAGAAAGUGCCACUGGCUGAGUGCCACAGAGUUUGUCUUUCCACUUUUCCUUAAAAAAAAAGUCUCUGGCAGACUUUUUAAAACCAUUAAAGUUGUGUUUAGCUGUGUACUCUGUUUUUCUGUACCAUAGAAAGUACACCUGGCCCAGUGCUUCUGCUUUUAGCUUAGUAUCUUUCCACAACAGAGCCAUGGGCAAAUAUGGCACUACCAUGUCAUUUGUGUUCUCCCCUUGUUUCCCAUAAAAAGUAAUCCUGACUCAUUGAUUCUG